AAGGUGUGAUAUCCUUCGUAUAAGUUGUUGUCAGUUGUGAUUUAGCCAUUUACGUUACCAAAUUUGAAGAUUGAAACAAAUCAUUUUUGGCAAAACUCUAUGGCGUUAAUUUUUGUAACAGGUAUCUAAUAGUAUUGUUGAAUGGGUUCGUUGUGCAUGUUCAUGUUUUUGUUAAAUGCUGCAGAGCUACAUCAGGCACCUGAAUUAUAGUUUUG
rnacentral:misc_RNA from 1 species